rnacentral:tRNA from 1 species
GGGGAUGUAGCUCAGUGGUAGAGUGCUUGCUUCCCGUGAGCAAAGCAUGUGGCUUUCAUCCCCA